rnacentral:tmRNA from 1 species
GUUUCGGUUACGGAAACAGGCGGAAAACCAAACAGUAACUGGGCUGCCACCGCAAAGUGCUGCACGUAGUGCGGGGGCCGAGAAAGCGACAGCGCAGCUACACACGUAGAAGGACGGAAAGAUCCUGUUCGGACCCGGGUUCGAUUCCCGGCAUCUCCACAA